rnacentral:rRNA from 1 species
GGUUAAGCGACUAAGCGUACACGGUGGAUGCCCUGGCAGUCAGAGGCGAUGAAGGACGUGCUAAUCUGCGAUAAGCGUCGGUAAGGUGAUAUGAACCGUUAUAACCGGCGAUUUCCGAAUGGGGAAACCCAGUGUGUUUCGACACACUAUCAUUAACUGAAUCCAUAGGUUAAUGAGGCGAACCGGGGGAACUGAAACAUCUAAGUACCCCGAGGAAAAGAAAUCAACCGAGAUUCCCCCAGUAGCGGCGAGCGAACGGGGAGCAGCCCAGAGCCUGAAUCAGUGUGUGUGUUAGUGGAAGCGUCUGGAAAGGCGCGCGAUACAGGGUGACAGCCCCGUACACAAAAAUGCACAUACUGUGAGCUCGAUGAGUAGGGCGGGACACGUGGUAUCCUGUCUGAAUAUGGGGGGACCAUCCUCCAAGGCUAAAUACUCCUGACUGACCGAUAGUGAACCAGUACCGUGAGGGAAAGGCGAAAAGAACCCCGGCGAGGGGAGUGAAAAAGAACCUGAAACCGUGUACGUACAAGCAGUGGGAGCACGCUUCGGCGUGUGACUGCGUACCUUUUGUAUAAUGGGUCAGCGACUUAUAUUCUGUAGCAAGGUUAACCGAAUAGGGGAGCCGAAGGGAAACCGAGUCUUAACUGGGCGUUAAGUUGCAGGGUAUAGACCCGAAACCCGGUGAUCUAGCCAUGGGCAGGUUGAAGGUUGGGUAACACUAACUGGAGGACCGAACCGACUAAUGUUGAAAAAUUAGCGGAUGACUUGUGGCUGGGGGUGAAAGGCCAAUCAAACCGGGAGAUAGCUGGUUCUCCCCGAAAGCUAUUUAGGUAGCGCCUCGUGAAUUCAUCUCCGGGGGUAGAGCACUGUUUCGGCAAGGGGGUCAUCCCGACUUACCAACCCGAUGCAAACUGCGAAUACCGGAGAAUGUUAUCACGGGAGACACACGGCGGGUGCUAACGUCCGUCGUGAAGAGGGAAACAACCCAGACCGCCAGCUAAGGUCCCAAAGUCAUGGUUAAGUGGGAAACGAUGUGGGAAGGCCCAGACAGCCAGGAUGUUGGCUUAGAAGCAGCCAUCAUUUAAAGAAAGCGUAAUAGCUCACUGGUCGAGUCGGCCUGCGCGGAAGAUGUAACGGGGCUAAACCAUGCACCGAAGCUGCGGCAGCGACACUAUGUGUUGUUGGGUAGGGGAGCGUUCUGUAAGCCUGUGAAGGUGUACUGUGAGGUAUGCUGGAGGUAUCAGAAGUGCGAAUGCUGACAUAAGUAACGAUAAAGCGGGUGAAAAGCCCGCUCGCCGGAAGACCAAGGGUUCCUGUCCAACGUUAAUCGGGGCAGGGUGAGUCGACCCCUAAGGCGAGGCCGAAAGGCGUAGUCGAUGGGAAACAGGUUAAUAUUCCUGUACUUGGUGUUACUGCGAAGGGGGGACGGAGAAGGCUAUGUUGGCCGGGCGACGGUUGUCCCGGUUUAAGCGUGUAGGCUGGUUUUCCAGGCAAAUCCGGAAAAUCAAGGCUGAGGCGUGAUGACGAGGCACUACGGUGCUGAAGCAACAAAUGCCCUGCUUCCAGGAAAAGCCUCUAAGCAUCAGGUAACAUUAAAUCGUACCCCAAACCGACACAGGUGGUCAGGUAGAGAAUACCAAGGCGCUUGAGAGAACUCGGGUGAAGGAACUAGGCAAAAUGGUGCCGUAACUUCGGGAGAAGGCACGCUGAUAUGUAGGUGAAGUCCCUCGCGGAUGGAGCUGAAAUCAGUCGAAGAUACCAGCUGGCUGCAACUGUUUAUUAAAAACACAGCACUGUGCAAACACGAAAGUGGACGUAUACGGUGUGACGCCUGCCCGGUGCCGGAAGGUUAAUUGAUGGGGUUAGCGGUAACGCGAAGCUCUUGAUCGAAGCCCCGGUAAACGGCGGCCGUAACUAUAACGGUCCUAAGGUAGCGAAAUUCCUUGUCGGGUAAGUUCCGACCUGCACGAAUGGCGUAAUGAUGGCCAGGCUGUCUCCACCCGAGACUCAGUGAAAUUGAACUCGCUGUGAAGAUGCAGUGUACCCGCGGCAAGACGGAAAGACCCCGUGAACCUUUACUAUAGCUUGACACUGAACAUUGAGCCUUGAUGUGUAGGAUAGGUGGGAGGCUUUGAAGUGUGGACGCCAGUCUGCAUGGAGCCGACCUUGAAAUACCACCCUUUAAUGUUU